AGAGUUUGAUCCUGGCUCAGAUUGAACGCUGGCGGCAUGCCUUACACAUGCAAGUCAAACGGCAGCGCGGGAGCAAUCCUGGCGGCGGGUGGCGAACGGGUGAGUAAUACAUCGGAACGUGCCCAAUCGUGGGGGAUAACGCAGCGAAAGCUGUGCUAAUACCGCAUACGAUCUACGGAUGAAAGCAGGGGAUCGCAAGACCUUGCGCGAAUGGAGCGGCCGAUGGCAGAUUAGGUAGUUGGUGAGGUAAAGGCUCACCAAGCCUUCGAUCUGUAGCUGGUCUGAGAGGACGACCAGCCACACUGGGACUGAGACACGGCCCAGACUCCUACGGGAGGCAGCAGUGGGGAAUUUUGGACAAUGGGCGAAAGCCUGAUCCAGCCAUGCCGCGUGCAGGAUGAAGGCCUUCGGGUUGUAAACUGCUUUUGUACGGAACGAAACGGCCUUUUCUAAUAAAGAGGGCUAAUGACGGUACCGUAAGAAUAAGCACCGGCUAACUACGUGCCAGCAGCCGCGGUAAUACGUAGGGUGCAAGCGUUAAUCGGAAUUACUGGGCGUAAAGCGUGCGCAGGCGGUUAUGUAAGACAGUUGUGAAAUCCCCGGGCUCAACCUGGGAACUGCAUCUGUGACUGCAUAGCUAGAGUACGGUAGAGGGGGAUGGAAUUCCGCGUGUAGCAGUGAAAUGCGUAGUUAUGCGGAGGAACACCGAUGGCGAAGGCAAUCCCCUGGACCUGUACUGACGCUCAUGCACGAAAGCGUGGGGAGCAAACAGGAUUAGAUACCCUGGUAGUCCACGCCCUAAACGAUGUCAACUGGUUGUUGGGUCUUCACUGACUCAGUAACGAAGCUAACGCGUGAAGUUGACCGCCUGGGGAGUACGGCCGCAAGGUUGAGACUCAAAGGAAUUGACGGGGACCCGCACAAGCGGUGGAUGAUGUGGUUUAAUUCGAUGCAACGCGAAAAACCUUACCCACCUUUGACAUGUACGGAAUUCGCCAGAGAUGGCUUAGUGCUCGAAAGAGAACCGUAACACAGGUGCUGCAUGGCUGUCGUCAGCUCGUGUCGUGAGAUGUUGGGUUAAGUCCCGCAACGAGCGCAACCCUUGUCAUUAGUUGCUACAUUCAGUUGGGCACUCUAAUGAGACUGCCGGUGACAAACCGGAGGAAGGUGGGGAUGACGUCAAGUCCUCAUGGCCCUUAUAGGCGGGGCUACACACGUCAUACAAUGGCUGGUACAAAGGGUUGCCAACCCGCGAGGGGGAGCUAAUCCCAUAAAACCAGUCGUAGUCCGGAUCGCAGUCUGCAACUCGACUGCGUGAAGUCGGAAUCGCUAGUAAUCGUGGAUCAGAAUGUCACGGUGAAUACGUUCCCGGGUCUUGUACACACCGCCCGUCACACCAUGGGAGCGGGUUCUGCCAGAAGUAGUUAGCUUAACCGCAAGGAGGGCGAUUACCACGGCAGGGUUCGUGACUGGGGUGAAGUCGGAACAAGGUAGCCGUAUCGGAAGGUGCGGCUG
rnacentral:rRNA from 1 species